AGUGAACGCUGGCGGUAGGCCUAACACAUGCAAGUCGAACGGCAGCACAGGAGAGCUUGCUCUCUGGGUGGCGAGUGGCGGACGGGUGAGGAAUACAUCGGAAUCUACUUUUUCGUGGGGGAUAACGUAGGGAAACUUACGCUAAUACCGCACACGACCUACGGGUGAAAGCAGGGGACCUUCGGGCCUUGCGCGAUUGAAUGAGCCGAUGUCGGAUUAGCUAGUUGGCGGGGUAAAGGCCCACCAAGGCGACGAUCCGUAGCUGGUCUGAGAGGAUGAUCAGCCACACUGGAACUGAGACACGGUCCAGACUCCUACGGGAGGCAGCAGUGGGGAAUAUUGGGCAAUGGGCGCAAGCCUGAUCCAGCCAUACCGCGUGGGUGAAGAAGGCCUUCGGGUUGUAAAGCCCUUUUGUUGGGAAAGAAAUCCAGCUGGCUAAUACCCGGUUGGGAUGACGGUACCCAAAGAAUAAGCACCGGCUAACUUCGUGCCAGCCGCCGCAGUAA
rnacentral:rRNA from 1 species